rnacentral:rRNA from 1 species
UACGUAGGGUGCAAGCGUUGUCCGGAAUUAUUGGGCGUAAAGGGCGCGUAGGCGGCUGGGCAAGUCAAAGGUGAAAUCCCUCGGCUCAACUGAGGAACUGCCUUUGAAACUGCCUGGCUUGAGGCCGGGAGGGGGUAGCGGAAUUCCCAGUGUAGCGGUGAAAUGCGUAGAUAUUGGGAGGAACACCAGUGGCGAAGGCGGCUACCUGGACCGGUUCUGACGCUGAUGCGCGAAAGCGUGGGUAGCAAACAGG